rnacentral:rRNA from 1 species
AUUGAACGCUGGCGGCAGGCCUAACACAUGCAAGUCGAGCGAGCGGCGGACGGGUUAGUAAUGUAUGGGGACUGCCCGAUAGAGGGGGAUAACUACUGGAAACGGUAGCUAAUACCGCAUACUAUCGGAUAACCCAUAUGGGAGUAGCUAGUAGGUGGGGUAAAGGCUAACCUAGGCGACGAGCUCUAGCUGGUCUGAGAGGAUGAUCAGCCACACUGGAACGGGGCAACGGCCCAGACUCGUACGGAGGCAGCAGUGGGGAAGAUUGCACAAUGUGCGAAAGCCGGAUGCAGCCAUGCCGCGGGUAUGAAGAAGGCCUUAGGGUUGUAAAGUACUUUCAGCGGGGAGGCGUUACCCGCAGAAGAAGCACCGGCUAACUCCGUGCCAGCAGCCGCGGUAAUAC